rnacentral:rRNA from 1 species
UACGUAGGGGGCAAGCGUUGUCCGGAUUUAUUGGGCGUAAAGAGCGUGUAGGCGGCCACUUAAGUCCUGCGUGAAAUCUUGCGGCUCAACCGCAAGCGGUCGUGGGAAACUGGGUGGCUAGAGUGCGGGAGAGGAGAGUGGAAUUCCUGGUGUAGCGGUGGAAUGCGCAGAUAUCAGGAAGAACACCCGUGGCGAAGGCGGCUCUCUGGAACGCAACUGACGCUGAGACGCGAAAAGCGUGGGGAGCAAACAGG